GGUUGUAUACGUUUAACA
rnacentral:siRNA from 1 species